CAAUGAAAUGUUAACAUGUACACUCCAAAAUUCACACCUGUGUGACUUUUGACCAAACAUGCAGUUGGCCUUAAUAUUUAGACCGAACCUCAAAACAUGGCAUCUACCUUUGAGAUUGGCUUAGACUUAUGUGACACUCAAGGUGCCAGGGCAAUGUUUCAUAGAGUGGAAUGAUUGACCUCAACACAAGUAUUAAAAAAAAAAGAAGCAAAACAGGUCUACAUCUCAAAACCUGAUCUCUUCCUGGACUGGCUUUAGGAGAACGAUGAUGCAUAUCAAUUUCAUCCCUGAUCUCUAUGACACCUGUGGUGGAAGUGGAGGGCAAAUCGUAAUCAGUUUGGGUUCCAGCCCCGAGGACCUCUGUAAACUUUGCUUUUUGGUGAUGACUUAAUUUCCGAGCUUGAAAAGGAAGCUUGUGUGUUUAUCAUGGCCUCUCAUAUUGGAAGAUAACAUUAAUGGUUUGUGUGUUGAUCGACGGUUGUGCAUAUCUCUUGGUCAGGAAAGUUGUAGGCACCAUCGCCAUUGUAAAUCAUUUGACAGGCCCGAGUGAACGGGGCGACCUAUGAUUGGUCAGCAAUGUAUCAGAUUCCAUACCGGGGGGUGGGGAUGAAAAAACUGUUGUAGUGUUACAUAAUCAGAUUAUUUCAACUUACUUAUCCUGUGGAAAUACAGCUAUAUAGGAGAUAUUUUGAAAUUCAUAGGCACUGCAUGUUUCAACAUUUUAGAUUUGACCACAAUUUGGCACUUGAAACUAUGUUAACAGAGAAAAACUGUGUGGUUUUCGAUGAAAGUGUUAAAAGUCUAAUAUUGCAUCAUGAUUACUGUUUUAAAGUAUUUUCGUGUUUGAUUUAUAUUGAAUUCAUCUCAUCUUUUUGAAGAAUGCAUUUAUGUUCAAAAAUAAAAAUGUUCUGUGGAAUUCAAAAUUCAUGUGCUUUUAAAUUAUCAGAUUCCAAACUGGGGGGUAGGGAUGAAAAAGCUGUUGUAGUGUUACAUAAUCAGAUUAUUUCAACUUACUUAUCCUAUGGAAAUACAGCUAUAUAGGAAAUAUUUUAAAAUUGAUAGGCACUGCAUGUUUCAACAUUUUAGAUUUGACCACAAUUUGGCACUUGAAACUACGUUAACA